UUACCAAGGCUUUGACUGGAAUGUCAUAGUUGAGAGAGAGAUGCAUAGAUUCAGACAUGACCAGACAGCUGUAAGGAACUGCCUGAAACUUGGCUCGGCUUCCUGGCCUCAGAGGCUUUGAAAGAGUCAAAUCUGAGAUUCCUUAUAAAAAGUUCCAGCAAAGCAGUCUUAAAAGAGCUUAUGUGGUCAAUCACCAUUCUUGCUACACUCAUGUAAAUAAUCAGGCCAAGUUUAAUACAAACAAAUUAGUUUUACUCUGAUUAUCUUUGGUAAAAAAUGGGGUAAUUGUAGAGAGAAAAAUUAUGUUUGCACCUUUGUAGAUAUUUAGAUUCUAACCCUGUUAAUUGUCUUUGAGGUUUUGUUAUAUACCUGUAAACUGAACUGGAUCCUAAAUUCUUCUAAUUUUCUCAAAUAUCUGGCUACCACUCUCCAACCGAAUGUUUCCUAUUGCCUCCCAUCCUUCUGAUUUGGAAUCACUGAGACCAAAGACUGUCCUUGAAUCUCCUUGGAAAGGAAUAUACUAGGUCUUCCUCCCGACCCAGAUGGCAGCCAAACCUCCAGGACUUAAACCUUGGCUACACAUCUCACAGUGGAAGAAAGCUCCUCCUGACCUCUGGUCCUUUACAAACACUGAAGACCUCUGAAUCAAACUGAUGAGCAGGAGAAGCAGCUGACAUUGACGUAGACUGCUUCCACCCAAGACACCAGAUCAAGAUUUCCCAUUUUAACUAAACAUGAAACACUGUCUUCCUCUCUUCUUUCCUUUACUCUGGCAUUGGCCUGGCAAGAUAAUGCCACCAUCAUAUCUCCCAAGCCAUUACUAAGGGAGAGCAACCUUUCAGACAGCUGGAUUCAUCAUCAAAAACUCCAAUCUGUUCAUGAUGCUGGAACCCAUGAACAAUGCCACCUGAGCAGUAAUGGUUUACGCCCCAACAGGAUUUAAUUUCAUCGGUGGUGGUGAUCAUUCUCCUUGGACCUAUAAAUGCUUAGAUGGCUAACACAUAACUGGGCAAUGCCCCUUAGGUUAUCUAACUGUGCCACUCAACUGUUCUCAAAUAGGCUAAGACACUUCAUUGGUCAACUCCCCUAAUCAUCCAAUUCGAAAAGACCUGCCAGGAGGCCUUCAUGAUUCAGGAUGUGCUUCUUUCGGCAGGUCCCUACUUCCUUUGUUAGGAGUGAGUACAAAUGAGGCUGUGAUCAGAAAUCCCUCCUUAACUCUUGAAAGUAUUGCAGAAUUCGCUGCUAAAGCAAUAGCUGCCCAAUGAAAAUCUCUAGACUCUCAGCUCAAAGUAGUUCUUGAUAAUAUGACAGCCCUUGAUCAUUUGUUAGCUGAGCAAGGAUGUGUCUGUGCUGUGGCCACCACCGCUGCACCUGGAUUAACACUUCUGGGGAAGCUGAAAUUUAGUUACAUAAAAUCACUGAGUGCGCCACUUGGCUUAAAAAGGUGACUCCUUCAACAGAGUAUUUCUUUCACUUAUUGGAUUUUGAUUGGUUUGGGUCUUGGGGACCAUGGCUCUGAAGUGCACUCCAGACAUGGGAAUUAUCCUACCAGUAACAGUCAUAGUAAUCUCCCUGAUGCACUGUAUUCUCUCAAAAGCUUUAAAUGCGUGUUUGCAGCUGCUAACCAUCAAGCAAAUGAAUGUGAAGUCGUGACCUGUGAAUACCACAGGAUUCAGCAGAAAACCUCAUGACCUGUGACUAUAACACGGAGAAACAGUAAAAGCUGCGAGACCAACAGAGCGGUAGCUGAGAGUGGCACUAAUGCCUUAAAUUUUGAUCACAUCUUUCAAGUUAUGCUAAGAGUCUCAUGCAAAGGGGGAGAACUGUUAAAAAAGAAAAAACAGGAACAAAAUGGUGUCACUUGUGCUAAGUCCCACAUCAAUAAAUCAAGACUUAAUUGCACUUUCAGUCUCUCACAGGAAUGUGACCUUUAACUAGUCAAUCUGGAAUUACCUGGUCGGCAUGAGUGAGUAAUCUGCCUCAUAGAUCCCCACACUACUCUUCCCCAAAGGAAGGUGAUCUUGCCCGAAUCUGCUCUUUGCUAGAAACUUCCUUUAUUCCGUCCCUUCUGCCCAUAACAGCCUUCCACUUUGCAUAGCUCCUUGGACCUCCCUUCUAUUUGCUAGCUGGGAUGCUGCUCAAUUCAUGAAUUGUUGGAUAGAGCCAAUUCGAUCUUCAAAUUUACUCAGUUGGCUUUUGCUUUAAACACCUUAGCAUCAUCAUCCUCUGAAAAUAAUGCUAAUUUUGUCUUUUUUCUAUUACUAUAUUUCUUUCUUUCUCUUAUCUGGGGGACAAAGAGAUUAAUUAGAACACUAAGGUUCCUUAGAGGAUGUAAGACUUCGGUGAAUCUUGCAGGAAUAGCAGCAAUUGGACUGGCUAAGAGGGGAGGAUGACAGAAAUAUAGCCACGCAUUGCUCAAUGAUGGGGAUACAUUCUGAGAAAUGUGUUAGGCAGUUUCAUCAUUGAGCGUACUUACACAAUUCAUCAUAGAGUGUACUCACACAAACCUAGAUGGUAUAGACUACUACACACCUAGGCUAUAUGGUACUAAUCUUACGGGACCACCCUCCUAUAUGCCCUCCGUCCUUGACCCAAACGCUGUUAUGCUGUGCAUGUCUCUAGAUAAAAUUGAGCUGUCCUACUCCCAACUAACGGAAGUCAGUUGAUAGAACCGCUGGUGGCACCUGGAACUCUACAUAUUACAUCACAGAAAAACUCAGACUAGUAGUGUCUUGGAACAUGUUUUGUUCAUAGUAAGUGUGAAAAUAAAGGAAAACCUCUUUUAAAAUGGAGUCAUGAAACCCUGAAGGGGGACCUCUCACGUACAUACCACUCACUGCUGCCUGCCUAACUGGCAGGAAGAUGGACGAUAAGAAUUAUUUUAACCAGGCCUAUUUGUAUAAAAUUCUCUCAGUCCCAACUUCUUAUCCGUGAUGAUAAGAAUGUAACUUUUCUGCUGGUGCAACGGAGGACAUCUUCACCUAGGAAUUUCAUCUCCUGCUUUUAAGAAAAGGAAGGAAGAUCCGUCCCUGCCGCAGCGACAACGCAUUGUCACAACCUUACACUCUUGUUCUUCUCCAAUGAACUUUUAUUCUAAAUAACCCUCCUUAAUUUCCUCCUAACACCUAAUAAAAACUAACUUUCCCCUUGUCUCUUCCAACUUGCCUAUGGUUCACCAUAGUUUGCACGUCCAGAAUUGCAAUUCCUCGGCUAUUCCCAAAUAAACUCAUUUUUUGAGCUUGCCCCCCAGACAGCUUCAUUUAGGUUGACAUAACAGCUAAAGAUAGUUUUAGUCUCUAUUAACAUCACAACCAAAUACUUAAAUCACAACCAAGUACUUAAAAGCCUGACAUAAUUGUAGACUCAUAAGUGAAAUGUCACAUUAUCAUUUUCAAUAAAUCAGCAUCAAUUUAACAUUUCGGAGAGCCCCCCAAAUUCUCAGCACUCAAAUCCAAGACAAGAAAGAUAAAAAACAGUACGACUGCAUUCUGGUUAUCCUAUGAAUUAAAGUGGAGUGAGUGUGAGUGAGUGUGUGUGUGUGUGUGUGUGUGUGUGUUUUAAAGCCUUUUGUUCACCAGCUUCUUUCCCUAUCUUACACUGUACUCCCUAAGGACUGUGUAUAUCAUUUAACUUUCUCCAUUGAACGAUAAACUUCAGAAGCUGAAGUUUAAAGGAGGAGGGGAGUCGACUCCAAAACUGCACACUGGUGUAGCCCCAAACGGAAAUACAGCGAAAGCUCGAGCGACCUCUCCCAGCGCAAACGAGUCCACCCCAGCUUCAGGAAACGAAGGAGUAUGUGGGGUUGCGGAUGACUGGCUUUGGGGCUCAUUCUUUUCACUACAGCGCCCCAGGAGCGGAAGGCAAGCCCAGGCUCCAGGGACCACGCAGUCCCGCUGGGGCUGAGAGCGUCUCCCCCAGGGUGUCCCGGACGCCCGGCAGGAAAGAGCGCCGCCGGGCCGCCGACACCUGAGCGCGCGCCCGGUGGGGCGGGCCGGGAGCCCUCUCUCCCUUCCGCCUGCGACGCGCGUUGUCGGUCGAGCCGGUGUAUGUGCGGUAAUAACAUGUCUGCCCCGCUUCCCGCCAUCAUCCCCGCCGCCCGGAAGGCCACUGCUGCGGUGAUUUUCCUUCAUGGAUUGGGAGAUACAGGCUCCUGAACACUCGGGUCCAGCCAAACCCACCUCCAUCAACGUGCCAGGGACAGGCUGCAUUGCAUUCCUAAGGGUAAGUCUGUUAACUCUACCUUCCCCCACUAGGAAAAUGCCUGUGGCGAUUCAGAAUGAGUCCACAAAUUCUCUGACACUCCCUUCAAAAGGUGGAGCCUAAUUCCCUCCCCUUGGUGUGGGCUGGCCUUGGUGACCAAGUGCUUGCAAGGGACAGAAAACAGUGGCAGUGAGGGUUUUCGGCUCUGGAGACACAGUCACAGAGGUGCCGGUAUCCUGCUUGCCCCCUCUCUUGAUCACUCCGCCCAAGGAAGUGGGGGACCUGUCGCAAGAACACUUCUGCAGCCUGUGCACAUGGAGGCCCAGGGGGCAAGGAACCGAAGCCUCCUACCAAGAGCCAAAGAGGAACUGGGGCCUCCUGCCAACAGCCAUGGGAGUGAGCUGCCUGGAGAGCAGCUCCUCCAGCCCCAGGCAAGCCUUCAGAUGAUUGCAGCCCCUACAAAAUCCUGACUGCAGCCACGACCAACUGGGUAAUGAGCCUACUCCACACCCUGACCCACAGAAACUGAGAGAAUAAUAAAUGCUUAUUUGCUUUAAGCCACUAAGUUCUGACAUAAUUUGUUACACAUCGAGUAGAUAACUAAUAUAAUGCCCUCUCUCUCCUUUGCACCUGAGCAAGAGUAGAUAGAGCUCAAGUUCACCCCUCGUUUGUAUAUAUUUUACAUAGAUUUCCUUUCCUAUACCCUCCAACCUUUAACAAGAAUGUUCUAUACUAUCACAAUAGUAUUAAGGUACACGGGAGGAGGUCCACGAAGUAUACUGGUUGAAGAGAAGAAUUCCCAUCAAACUUCUGAAAGAUUUCAAAACUUAAUAAACUGACAUUUACAUUUAUGCCUCUCCCACUACCAAAACCAGACUUGACACGGCUUACAAUGAAAAACUGG
rnacentral:lncRNA from 1 species